GAUGAACGCUAGCGGCAGGCUUAAUACAUGCAAGUCGAGGGGCAGCAUGGUUGUAGCAAUACAACUGAUGGCGACCGGCAAACGGGUGCGGAACACGUACACAACUUACCCUGAACUGGGGGAUAGCCUUCCGGAAGGAAGAUUAAUACCUCAUAGGAUCGUAGAGUGGCAUCACUUAGCGAUUAAAGCUCCGGCGGUUCAGGAUGGGUGUACGGCUGAUUAGGUAGUUGGUAGAGGUAACGGCUCACCAAGCCUGCGAUCAGUAACUGGUGUGAACGCACGACCAGUCACACGGGCACUGAGACACGGGCCCGACUCCUACGGGAGGCAGCAGUAAGGAAUAUUGGUCAAUGGACGCAAGUCUGAACCAGCCAUGCCGCGUGAAGGAUGAAGGUCCUCUGGAUUGUAAACUUCUUUUAUAGGGGACGAAAUCAACAUUUCCAUGUUGUCUGACGGUACCCUAGGAAUAAGCACCGGCUAACUCCGUGCCAGCCGCCGCAGUAACAC
rnacentral:rRNA from 1 species